AUACCUUUCUCGGCCUUUUGGCUAAGAUCAAGUGUAGUAUUUGUUCUUAUCAGUUUAAUAUGUGAUAUGUGGGCCAAUGGUCCACACGAUAUUAGAUUUAUUUCUUCAGGAGGAGAGUCCACUUCAAUAGCUUGCUAUUGGGUCUCUCAAGUGUCGCAUUUGUGUUCCACUACUACAUUGGCUUCGCGCAUCCCUC
rnacentral:snRNA from 1 species